UGUUGCUGGCUUCUCGGAGCAUGUGCACGCCUAGCACCAUUUUUACCACCUGUGCACCCUUUGUAGACCUGGAUACCUCUCGAGGAAACUCGGUUUGAGGACUGCUGUGUGAAAGCCGGCUUUCCUUGCAUUUCCGGUCUAUGUUUUAUAUACCCCAUAAGAAUGUAACAGAAUGUUAUUAAUUGGCCUUUGUGCCUUUAAUCAAAUACAACUUUCAGCAACGGAUCUCUUGGCUCUCGCAUCGAUGAAGAACGCAGCGAAAUGCGAUAAGUAAUGUGAAUUGCAGAAUUCAGUGAAUCAUCGAAUCUUUGAACGCACCUUGCGCUCCCUGGKAUUCCGGGGAGCAUGCCUGUUUGAGUGUCAUUAAAUUCUCAACCUUUCCAGCUUUUGCUAGCUUGGGUUAGGCUUGGAUGUGGGAGUUGCGGGCUUCUCAGAAGUCGGCUCUCCUUAAAUGCAUUAGUGAAACCUUUGUUGACCAUCUUUGGUGUGAUAAUUAUCUACGCUGUUGAAAGUCAUCAUUAUAGAGGUUCUGCUUCUAACUGUCCUCUAGGGG
rnacentral:rRNA from 1 species